UUAUCUGGAUUCAUAGAAGUGAGGGAUUAGAUGAGAUGAUUAACAUGUUUUUGUUAUUUCCUUUUCUCCAGAGCAGCUCAAGUCCAGCUGUGCCUGAGAUUCCAUUCGCUUUGUUCCUGUCCUAUCACUGCAUCAGCCCUGGCCUGUAACUGGAAAGAUGUAUUUGGGAAUGAGAUUGGUAGCUGAAAUAUUCUGCUCCGAGAGAGCGUCCAGUUGACUUCUGCGUUCCCCACAGCCUAUAGCAUUUAACUGAAGGUUCUCAGCAGCAUCUUGAAGCCUGCUUACAGCCGAAAUGGAUUUUAAUGGAAGGCUGACUCACAAGGAGUGCUAUUAGUGACACCUACCCUGAUACCUUGCAUAAUCGCAGACUAUGCAAAGCUCAUAUGAUUCCUUUAUCAAACUCAACUGCUUACAGAAAGAAAGCAUCUGAAGGGGAUAGAAAGAAAGCAUCUGAAGGGGAUAGCUUGCACAUGGGCUUAAUUUAUCAGUACAUUAAAUUGGAAUCCCUAGCAGGUAGAUUUUUUUUAGCUCUUCUCAAAGAUUUUUUUUUUUUGCUAAAUUGCACUGAUGUGAUUUGGAAGAACAAUAAUUAAUUGCAGUUUACUUUGUUCCCAUCCUUCUUUAUGCCUUUGGAAAGAGAAGCAGUCAAUGGUUUACAAGGAUUAAUAAUCACAGCCUCACAAUGGCCUUCUGAAGUCAGAAGUGCUACUGCUAUUUGACAAAGGUAGCUGAAUGAUAUGCAACUCAGUGCAUAACUAUCUCCAUGUAAAAGAGUGGAGUUAAAGCACCAUGAGAGAGAGUCAGUGGCAGAACUGGCAGACAGGUCUCUGAUUUUUGCCACAGUCUUAGUAAAACCUCACUUAAGAAUCAACUUUUGCAAAUGCCCAUGCUUGUUUCAGCAGUUGCCUGCAAAAUAACAGAGGCUAGGGAAAUACAUUGCUCCCUGAUAACUCUGUGAUUUGCUGGCAUGUUUGUUACCAUGCUGCACUGAUAAACUACAACUCUCUGAUUUUCAUUAUCACUGACACAUACUACCAUUGAUAGUUAGCAGCCAUUUCGAAGUUUGAUGGAGAAUGGUAUUUUUUUCAAAAACUAAGUAUUUUACAAAAUACAAACUGACUAGUUCUUUUCUUAA